rnacentral:lncRNA from 1 species
GCUUCUGGCAAGCACCCAAGGGCUAGGAGGAAGUCAGUCUGGAGGAAAAGGAGACACACAGCGAGAGGCAGAGAAGAGCAAACCACAGGAGGUGGACCCAGAACCCCGACUCAACUAUCUAAAUUGUUCCGAGGCUGGAGAUCUCAGUCCAACUUUAACCUAACUUGAGGAUGUCCAAACGCACACCAUCAGCUCUUACAUAUCAUCCUACAAUGUGCUCCAAGUCUCUGUUACUGGCCUUUUCCUGCCAAGCUCACCAGCCCAUCUUCAUGUUUCUAAGAAGUUUCAGCUUGGGACUUUCCUUCAGUCAAAGGAGUUCAGCUCAGUGCUUAGCUGUGGAUCUCUGUUU